UGAGGAAUCUUGCUCAAUGGGCGAAAGCCUGAAGCAGCGACGCCGCGUGGAGGAUGAAGGUCUUCGGAUUGUAAACUUCUGUUAAGUGGGAAAAAAGACUUAAGUUUAAUAGACUUAGGGGAUGAUGGUACCACUAGAGAAAGCACCGGCUAACUUCGUGCCAGCAGCCGCGGUAAUACGAAGGGUGCGAGCGUUAUUCGGAUUUAUUGGGCGUAAAGGGUGCGCAGGCGGCAUGCUAAGUCAGCUAUUUAAUCUCCCGGCCUAACUGGGAAUCAGUGGCAGAUACUGGCGUGCUAGAGGAUGGAAGAGAGAAGUGGAAUUCUCGGAGUAGCGGUAAAAUGCGUAGAUCUCGAGAGGAACACCGAUGGCGAAGGCAGCUUCUUGGUCCAUUUCUGACGCUCAUGCACGAAAGCGUGGGGAGCAAACAGGAUUAGAUACCCCUGUAGUCC
rnacentral:rRNA from 1 species